rnacentral:rRNA from 1 species
GACGAGCGCUGGCGGCGUGCCUAAUACAUGCAAGUCGAGCGUGGGAAGCUAACUGAAUCCUUCGGGAGGACGUUAGUGGAACGAGCGGCGGACGGGUGAGUAACGCGUGGGUAACCUGCCUGUAAGAUUGGGAUAACUACCGGAAACGGUAGCUAAUACCGGAUACGACCUUUCCACAUAAGUGGAACUGUUAAAAGGCGGAUUUAUCUGCCGCUCAUGGAUGGGCCUGCGGUGCAUUAGCUAGUUGGUGAGAUAGUAGCUCACCAAGGCGACGAUGCAUAGCCGACCUGAGAGGGUGAUCGGUCACACUGGGACUGAGACACGGCCCAG